CACCAGUUACCACAAUAUCAUCCAUAUUAGUGUUAUCAAGGCAAAAUGCGACACUAAGACAACAAGGGACCUUACAGCCUUAGUCGAGAGGCGAGAGGCUAGGCGAGGCCUUUUCAAAGCAAGGCGCCAUAGUCUAAAUUACCUAAAUUAUAUGUGUGUGUGCUUCUAACAUAUUAACAAAUUAAAUAAUAAAUUAAAUAACUAAUUAAC
rnacentral:misc_RNA from 1 species